CAGAUAAAUUGUUUGAUAAUAUUUUGAAUAGUAUUGAAUGAUUGUCUUGUGCAUAAUGACAUUUGGACUGAUUGUGAAUUUUCAAGUUUGGGGUCAUCUUGAGAUGUUGAGACAUUGUAGGACUAUAGUUUGUUUAAUUAUGAUGCCUUAACAUUUUUAUUGUUUCUUUAUUUCCUUUAUCUUUCUAUUGUUGGUAUAGUUAACUCCUUUCUUUAAUGAGGCUUUUUUGGAAUGCAUGUUUGUGUGCUUAGAAUUUUGUGGAAAGACAAAUGGAUUUAUCCUUAUGUGAUGAAUGAACUAUGAAGUCCUAUUGAAAUUUUGAAAGAGGGGUAAUAUAGAUUUUUUAAUUUCUUUUGUUUUAUUUUUUACAAGAGAGGAAUGAAAGGCUAUUCUACAAACUUCUCAUUGAUAAUGUUGAGGAAUUGCCCCCAGUUGUCUAUGCUCCAACUGUGGGUGAGGCUUGCCAGAAGUAUGGGAGCAUUUUCAAGCGCCCACAGGGUCUUUACAUAAGUUUGAAAGAAGAGUAUGAAUUUCUAUUUUUGCUGUAACUACGUGCAACUUAGAACUACUUUAGUCAUAAUAUGAAGGAGGGCUCGGAUUUUGCAAGGGCAAUAUUCUUGAGGUGUUGAAGAACUGGCUUGAGAGGACUAUUCAAGCAAUUGUUGUGACGGAUGGUGAGCAAAUUUCAGGACUUAGGGAUCUUGGCUGUCAGGGGAUGGGGAUUCCUGUGGGGAAAUUGUCUUUGUAUACAGCACAUGGAGGUCUUCGUCCUUCUACAGUAAGUUUAUUCAAAUAAAACUUGUGGCUCUUGCUUCGUUUUACUACAUUGUAAA